rnacentral:rRNA from 1 species
GACGAACGCUGGCGGCGUGCUUAACACAUGCAAGUCGAACGAUGAAGAAGAGCUUGCUCUUCGGAUUAGUGGCGAACGGGUGAGUAACACGUGACUAACCUGCCCCUUUCUCUGGGAUAACGCUCCGAAAGGAGUGCUAAUACCGGAUACUCACACCGACGCCCAUGCCUUGAUGUGGAAAGUUUUUCGGAAAGGGAUGGAGUCGCGGCCUAUCCCGUUGUUGGUGAGGUAACGGCUCACCAAGGCGACGACGGGUAGCCGGCCUGAGAGGGCGACCGGCCACACUGGGACUGAGACACGGCCCAGACUCCUACGGGAGGCAGCAGUGGGGAAUAUUGCACAAUGGGCGAAAGCCUGAUGCAGCGACGCCGCGUGAGGGAUGAAGGUCUUCGGAUUGUAAACCUCUUUCAGUAGGGACGAAGCGAAAGUGACGGUACCUAAAGAAGAAGCACCGGCUAACUACGUGCCAGCAGCCGCCGUAA